rnacentral:rRNA from 1 species
CCUACGGGUGGCAGCAGUGGGGAAUAUUGCACAAUGGGGGAAACCCUGAUGCAGCGACGCCGCGUGAGUGAAGAAGUAAUUCGUUAUGUAAAGCUCUAUCAGCAGAGAAGAAAAUGACGGUACCUGAGUAAGAAGCCCCGUCUAACUACGUGCCAGCAGCCGCGGUAAGACGUAGGAGGCCAGCGUUAUCCGGAUUGACUGGGUGUAAAGGGAGCGUAGACGGCAGUGUAAGUCUGGAGUGAAAGGCGGGGGCUCAACCCCCGGACUGCGAUGGAAACUGUAAGGCUGGAGUGCAGGAGAGGUAAGCGGAAUUCGUAGUGUAGCGGUGAAAUGCGUAGAUAUUAGGAGGAACACCGGUGGCGAAGGCGGCUUACUGGACUGUAACUGACGUUGAGGCUCGAAAGCGUGGGGAGCAAACAGGAUUAGAUACCCGAGUAGUC